CGCCUCCGCACCGCCACGUCACCGGAGACGGGACCCGCGCUGACUGCCCGUGGGCGCAUGCGUCGUGGAGGGAGGGCGUCGGGGCGUCCGCGAGCGCCAACUUUCAGCGUCUGGUCUGCGGAUUCCUUCUAUCCCGCCCCGAUGCUGCAGGGCCCUGGCCGAGCGGCGUCAGCUGGAAGGCUGGCCAGAUUUUGUCGCACUCGGGGCAGGAAGACGGCCGAGGCGGCGGCCGAUGGAGAUAGUAGUGCCUUGCUUAAGUCACGGCGGCCGGCGGCGCCCUCCUGGAGGCUGACUGGACGGAGGCAGGGAAGAUCCCGGUGAGCGGGCCGGGCCUAACAGGAACCUCCAGCGGCCGCCCAAAGCCGCGGGCACGGGUGCUGACUCAGCUGCCCUCGGGAAGGAGUUGCUGCGUCCCCACAAACCCGCCAGUGCAGCUGAAGUGGCGGGUUAGAGCUGUGGUACUCAAACAUGUCCAAGCAAACGGGAGGAGCACCGGCGCGGGUUCAGUCUCUCCAAACCCGGUUCAGCCGUUAUCUCUGGAGUCAGACUUCGCCGCCCAAUUCAUGGAUUUGUGCUUUUGACUCCGCUCUGAUUUUUUUGAAUGAAUAAAGUUGCCUGGGAUACUUUA